AAUUAAUGUUAGUCACUGUUGUCUUUUUUGUUUUUGUUUUUUUUUUUUUUUUUUGAGGCGGAGUCUCGCUCUUUCGCCCAGGCCGGACUGCAGUGGCGCUAUCUCGGCUCACUGCAAGCUCCGCCUCCCGGGUUGACGCCAUUCUCCUGCCUCAGCCUCCUGAGUAGUUGGGAUUACAGGCGCCCGCCACCGCGCCUGGCUAAUUUUUUGUAUGUUUAGUAGAGACGGGGUUUCACCGUGUUAGCCAAGAUGGUCUCGAUCUCCUGACCUCGUGAUCCGCCUGCCUCGGCCUCCGGCCUCCCAAAGUGCUGGGAUUACAGGCGUGAGCCACCGCGCCCGGCCCUCACUGUUGUCUUUUAAGUAGUGAAACAGGAAUGUCUCUCUGAUCAGAAAGCACAAUUAAGAUUCUGCAGAAAAGGAAAUCCAGCUCGGUGCCACCAAUCUGUACUAGGAAUGAAGAUUUGUUACCUGUCCUGCUGACGUCAGACCCAGCACCAGGUGCAGAAGCAACCAUCAUACAAAAAUCAAGCUUCCUUAAUUAUCCUCUGAAGAGUCCCUACCAGCAAGAAGGCUCUCACCAGACGUGGCCCUUUGACCUUGGAUUUCUCAGCCUUCAAAACUCUUGAGAUGCCCGAUCCCAGGCUCACCGAAGCGAGGUGAUACCAGACUCUCCCAGGCUCACCCAGGACAUGGUUUUCAUGUAGUGCAGUGUAGCAGGUUAUGUCAAAGUUUUGAAGGCUUUUCCAGCAUACCAAAAAUUCAGGGGGAAAGGAAUUGACAAGGGAUGUAACAAGAUCAGCAGCCACACAAACUCAAAUGUCCUCAAACUCCAGGGUCUCAGAUCUACAACACCUGAACACCUCCCCUGAGGAAGCCUCAAGUUCAGUGCUAGCUCUGCAGUCAACAUCAACCUAAAAUAUUACUACAGACAGAAAUCGUUCUGGAUCAAAAUUCUGAUCUUCUUUCCACUUUUUCAGACUCAUCAGAAGAGGUGUCUAAGAAGAUGCACAAAAAAAUUUGCAAGUGGACCAUUAUUGCCUGAGGGUCUAAAGUUUUACCAGAUUCUUUUUACAAUGAAGUAUAUAUAGUGUACAUGCUUGGGGAAAAUGCUGGGUCUUAAACCCAACCUCUAUUAACACGAUUAUUGCUCAUUAAUCAUGGCUGAAAAAUCUGGCAUCAAGAAUCACCGAGAUCCUAGCUACUCAAAGUGUAAUCCCUGGAUCAACAGCAUCAGCAGCAUCUGAGAGCUUGUUGGAGAUGCAGAAUCUCAGGCAGACCUACUGAACCAAAAAAAAAAAAAAAAUCUCAUUUUAACAAGACCCACAGGGGAUUGAAAUUUUCCUUCCACAUUUGAGAAGCACUGCUCUAGAUCCUCUCUCUUGAGGAGGUCAUUUACGUCAGGUUCUAUUCUUAAUAGGAAACAGGUUGAGAAAUAAAAACCUCAACAGGGCUACAAAUACGAACCCAGAAAAUGUGAAGUUUUUAGUGAAUGUUGAAAACAAGGCAGCAAAAUGGCUGUUUAUUAAACCUAAUAUAUUCUGUACUGAGAUCAAAAGGCAGGUGUUACAAGGACCAUAGCUCUAAUUAUGAAGUUGGCUAUUUCAACACGACCAGCCACUGAACACUACACGCUUCCCCUUCGUGCUUUUAGUCUUUCCCAUAAAUGCCACAUGGUUCUUUUGGCAGAAUUAGCUCCCAGAUUUGCAGUGGGAAUUAGACAAGAACAUUUUCUCCUUCCUUUCCUUUGAGAUGCAGGGAUGGGGGCUAGAGCAGGCAGCAGGGAGCACUUCUGAGGCCAGGAGUAAGCAAAACUAAAACCAGAGAAGGGGUGCCAAGAUAUGAAUGCCAGAGGGAACAUAAGGGCACAAAACUGCAAGAGGGGGAAGGAGGGUGACACAUUGCCAGGUGCCUGGGACCAGAGACGCACCAAGUGGUAGGGUCUUUUUAAAAUUUUAUUUCUUAGAAUGUAUUUUUAAUUAACAAAUAAAACUUAUAUUUAUGGUAUCUAACAUGAUGUUUUGGAAUAGGUAGACACUGUGCAAUGGCUAAAUCCAGCUAAUUAACAUAUGCAUUGCCUCACAUUUUUAUUUUUUUGUGCUGAGAACACUUAAAAUCUACUCUUAGCGAUUUUCAAGAACAUAAUACAUUGUUAUUAAUUAUAGUCACUGUGUUGUACAAUAGAUCUCUUGAAUUUAUUCACCCUGUCUAAGUGAAAUUUUGUAUCCUUUGACCACCCCUCUCCCAGUGCCCAGGCAACCAGCAUUCCGCUGUCUGCUUCCAUGUGUUACACUUUUUUAGCUUCCAUGUAUAUGAGUGAGAUCAUGUGGGAUUUGCCUUUCUGUUUUUGGCUUAUUUCACUUAGCAAAUGUCCUCCAGGUUCACGCAUGUUGUCACAAAUGACAGAACUUCUUCUCUUUUUAAGGCUGAGUAGUAUUCCAUUGUGUAUAUAUACCACAUUUUCUUUAUCAGCUCAUCUGUUGAUAGACAUUUAGGUUGAUUCCAUAUCUUGACUGUUGUGAAUAGUGCUGCAACAAACAUGAGAGGGGGUGCAGAUAUCUCUUUGACAUACCGAUUUCAUUUCCUUUGUAUCUAUACUGAGCAGUGGG
rnacentral:lncRNA from 10 species